rnacentral:rRNA from 2 species
GNGCUACGGGAUAACAGAGAGAAAUUUCUGCUAAUACCGUAUGUGGCCUUUGGGCGAAAGAUUUAUCGGCUUAAGAUGAGCCCGCGUUGGAUUAGCUGGUUGGUGGGGUAAAGGCCUACCAAGGCGACGAUCCAUAGCUGGUCUGAGAGGAUGAUCAGCCACACUGGGACUGAGACACGGCCCAGACUCCUACGGGAGGCAGCAGUGGGGAAUAUUGGACAAUGGGCGCAAGCCUGAUCCAGCCAUGCCGCGUGAGUGAAGAAGGCCUUAGGGUUGUAAAGCUCUUUCACCGGUGAAGAUAAUGACGGUAGCCGGAGAAGAAGCCCCGGCUAACUUCGUGCCAGCAGCCGCGGUAAUACGAAGGGGGCUAGCGUUGUUCGGAUUUACUGGGCGUAAAGCGCGCGUAGGCGGAUAGAUAAGUCAGANGUGAAAUCCCGGGGCUCAACCCCGGAAUUGCCUUUGAUACUGUUUAUCUUGAGUGCAGAAGAGGUAAGUGGAAUUCCNAGUGUAGAGGUGAAAUUCGUANAUAUUCNG